AGCAGUCGCCGCGGGAAUACGUAGGUGGCAAGCGUUGUCCGGAAUUAUUGGGCGUAAAGGGCUCGCAGGCGGUUUCUUAAGUCUGAUGUGAAAGCCCCUGGCUCAACCGGGGAGGGUCAUUGGAAACUGGGAAACUUGAGUGCAGAAGAGGAGAGUGGAAUUCCACGUGUAGCGGUGAAAUGCGUAGAGAUGUGGAGGAACACCAGUGGCGAAGGCGACUCUCUGGUCUGUAACUGACGCUGAGGAGCGAAAGCGUGGGGAGCGAACAGGAUUAGAUACCCGAGUAGUCCCUGUCUCUUAUAA
rnacentral:rRNA from 1 species